ACCGAAUAGUCGGAGGGGACCUCCUGGGAGCGGAGGGGACCCUAGGGGUGGUUCGGUUUUCUGAGUAAGGCAACCCUUAAGUGUUUUCUGGUCGAAUAAAGGUUCCGUGCGGGCGCAGGGACGAAAUCGGCUUUAUCGAGUAAAGUCGAAUAUUAAUUUAUGAAGAAAUCAAGUCUUGGCGGGGUUUAUGGAUAAUUAAAUUAGGCUUGGAGGGCCUAAAUGAUAUUAACAAAUCCCUAGGUGAAAUUAAAGAGGUCCUUUAGUGCAAUUAAAGAGAGUAUGAGGAUUUAAUAUGCAUAUUUAUAUGUAUAUAGGUGCAUUCGGCCGUGUGUGAGGAGGAAGCUUCCUUGAAGCUUCCUCACAUAUAGUCUCUGUAAAUUUAAAAUGGCCGAGAGAGAGAGCAGAGAUAAUGGAGGGGGGGUGAUGGCCGAGAGAUUAAAGCGAGGGAGCUCGAGAGAUCGAGAUAUGGAGAGAGGUCUCGAUGGAGGGAGAUGCGAUCCGAGAGCAGCAAAGGCGACGGCGGCCGUGGCGGGUUGCAGCGGCGCAAGUGGCAGCGACCAGCGGCGUCCAUGGCUGGUUGCAGAAGCGAGCUUGGCGGCCGAUGGUGGCCGCAAGGGGCGGAUGGCUCGUGGGGGGAGCAGCCAAGGCCGUGCGAUGGCGCGCGGAGGAGUCGUUGGUGGCCGAAGGGAGCAGCAGCGGGGCGGCCAUGGCAGUCGCGGCAUCGAGCGUGGCAGCUCGCGGCUGAGGGUGCCGGCAGAGGCGACCAACAGGGGUGCUAGCGAUGCAGUCCGAGGCGGUAGGCGGUAGCGGAGCUGCCUGUAGCAGCGUUCGGCAGAGCCAGUGGCGGUGGUUGGCCACCAUGCUCGCAGGGUCGCUGUGCGCGCCGAUUCGGUGAGGAAGAAGGAGGAACAGGAGCGGCCGCGCGGGAAGAAGAAAGCAGGAGAAAGAAAGGAAAAGAGAAAAAAAAAAAAAGAAAAGAGAAAAAAAAAUAAAAGGAAAAUAAAUUCUGGAAAAUUGGGAAAAAUAGCUGAAAAAUCGAGAAAAAUGAGGGAAAGUUCUGGAAAUUAGUUUGGGGCUUGAAGAGCUUGUCGAAAGCUCAAAAAGAUGGAAUUUUGGGCGCGAGCGGCAGCUCGGGAGGCAACGUCGGCGUGGUCGUUUCUGAAUUUCGUUUCCGAAUUGUCCGAGGUUUGACCGGGGAGGCGGUGAUCCUAGAGGAACUAGAGGUUCGGGCUGGAAUUCGGGCCGAGGCAGAGAUGAGGCUUCGAGCCAGAUGAUGCAAGUCCGGAUGCAAGCAGGGAUGGCGCCGGGAGGCCGUUGUGGCAACUAGCUGAGUUGCCCGAGUUAUGUAUUUUUUUUUUUUUGCUUGUAUGUAGCCAGGGGGCGCGGUGUAUCUAUACCCUUGUGAGUUAAUGUCUGUGUUAUUGAGCUUAAAUGUAUUUAACCGUUGUAAUCAUCAUAGUGUGAUAGAUGAUUGUGAGAUUGCUUGUUGAAUGUGGCAUAGUUGGUAAAGCCAAGUUUCGGACCGAGUCAAGAUCAGCAAGGUAUGUUCUCAUAAAUCCCCAAUACUCAGCGAAGUGUUUGUAUGCUAGCUUUGUGCCUGGGUCACCUCUGGCUUGCUAUGGGGUAAGCUGAAGAGAGGUGAAGCUCACUCAGGUUUCAGGUCUUGGUCCGCUGGAUUUUUCUUAUUUGGGACCGAUUCCUGAGUGGAGCGAAGGGAAGGACGAAGCCUAGUUCCCACCUAGGGCGUUUUCUGUUGAAACAUAGUCCAACCCUUCAGUUGUGGUUGUCGGGUGAGUAAUCUGGUCGAUUAUUUACCAGUGACGCCCGUAAGUGGGAGCGGGUCGUUACAUUAUGGUGUAUGAUAAAUGGAAGUAACAUGUUCUGCCCAAGGAAACACAUGAUAUGCAAGCCACAAAACCACACGAAAUGAAAUUACAAAUGGCCAGGAUGAAGCAAGUUAUAUGCAGGAACCACUCACCGUGCUGGUUUACCUAUACAGUAUUGUUCACACUUAUUGGGGCUUGUUUUUGUGCAAUAAACGAGAAUUUUUGUAAAGCAAGUACACCUUAUUUUUUUCCAUAAACCCCUUUAUUUUAUUUUUCUCUCUUUUUUGGUAUUUUUCCAGAAUUAUUAGGCUUACCUAUAAUUCCCCGCUCCCACCAUGGGUGCUACUAGUGAAUAAUCGACUAGAUUACUCACCCAUCAAGCCAUUAAUGAAGGGAUGUACUAUGUUUCAAUGAGAAAUGCCCUAGGUGGGCACUAGCCAUUGUCCUUCCCUUCGCUCCACUCAAGGAUUCAAAAACAAAAUACCCGAGGAAACCGAUCGAAAAAAUCCAAAAUCCUAAGUGAGCAUCAUCCUUUUUUAACUCAGAAAUUAAGUACAAUAAAUAUACAUAUAAAUCCCUUUUUUUUCAAAAAAAAAAAAAAAAAAAAAAGCUUACAUAACCCUCUU